rnacentral:rRNA from 1 species
GAUGAACGCUGGCGGCGUGCCUAAUACAUGCAAGUCGAGCGAACAGACGAGGAGCUUGCUCCUCUGACGUUAGCGGCGGACGGGUGAGUAACACGUGGAUAACCUACCUAUAAGACUGGGAUAACUUCGGGAAACCGGAGCUAAUACCGGAUAAUAUAUUGAACCGCAUGGUUCAAUAGUGAAAGACGGUUUUGCUGUCACUUAUAGAUGGAUCCGCGCCGCAUUAGCUAGUUGGUAAGGUAACGGCUUACCAAGGCAACGAUGCGUAGCCGACCUGAGAGGGUGAUCGGCCACACUGGAAGUGAGACACGGUCGAGACUCCUACGGGAGGCAGCAGUAGGGAAUCUUCCGCAAUGGGCGAAAGCGUGACGGAGCAACGCCGCGUGAGUGAUGAAGGUCUUCGGAUCGGAAAACUCUGUUAUUAGGGAAGAACAAAUGUGUAAGUAGCUAGGAACGUCUUGACGGUACCUAAUCAGAAAGCCACGGCUAACUACGUG